rnacentral:rRNA from 1 species
AAUAGAUACCCCGGUAGUCCACGCCGUAAACGAUGAGUGCUAAGUGUUAGGGGGUUUCCGCCCCUUAGUGCUGCAGCUAACGCAUUAAGCACUCCGCCUGGGGAGUACGGUCGCAAGACUGAAACUCAAAGGAAUUGACGGGGGCCCGCACAAGCGGUGGAGCAUGUGGUUUAAUUCGAAGCAACGCGAAGAACCUUACCAGGUCUUGACAUCCCGUUGACCACUGUAGAGAUAUAGUUUCCCCUUCGGGGGCAACGGUGACAGGUGGUGCAUGGUUGUCGUCAGCUCGUGUCGUGAGAUGUUGGGUUAAGUCCCGCAACGAGCGCAACCCUUGAUCUUAGUUGCCAUCAUUUAGUUGGGCACUCUAAGGUGACUGCCGGUGACAAACCGGAGGAAGGUGGGGAUGACGUCAAAUCAUCAUGCCCCUUAUGACCUGGGCUACACACGUGCUACGAAUGGACGAUACAAACGGUUGCCAACUCGCGAGAGGGAGCUAAUCCGAUAAAGUCGUUCUCAGUUCGGAUUGUAGGCUGCAACUCGCCUA